GACGAACGCUGGCGGCGUGCUUAACACAUGCAAGUCGAACGGAAAGGCCCCUUUGGGGGUACUCGAGUGGCGAACGGGUGAGUAACACGUGAGUAACCUGCCCUUGACUUCGGGAUAACUUCAAGAAACUGGGGCUAAUACCGGAUAGGAAUCCUUGCUGCAUGGUGGGGGUUGGAAAGCUUCGGCGGUUUUGGAUGGACUCGCGGCUUAUCAGCUUGUUGGUGGGGUAGUGGCUUACCAAGGCUUUGACGGGUAGCCGGCCUGAGAGAGUGACCGGCCACAUUGGGACUGAGAUACGGCACAGACGCCUACGGGAGGAAGCAGUGGGGAAUAUUGCACAAUGGGCGGAAGCCUGAUGCAGCAACGCCGCGUGCGGGAUGACGGCCUUCGGGUUGUAGACCGCUUUCAGCAGGGGCGAAGCUUGUGGUGACGGUACCUGCAGAAGAAGCACCGGCUAACUACGUG
rnacentral:rRNA from 1 species